UCCGGUUUGUCACCGGCAGUCUCCCAUGAGUCCCCAACUGAAUGCUGGCAACAUGGAACGGGGGUUGCGCUCGUUGCGGGACUUAACCCAACAUCUCACGACACGAGCUGACGACAGCCAUGCACCACCUGUGAUGGUGUCCCGAAGGAGGACCGUAUUUCUACGGUUUUCCAGUGCAUGUCAAGCCCUGGUAAGGUUCUUCGCGUUGCAUCGAAUUAAACCACAUGCUCCGCUGCUUGUGCGGGGCCCCGUCAAUUCCUUUGAGUUUUAAUCUUGCGACCGUACUCCCCAGGCGGAAUGCUUAAAGCGUUAGCUGCGCCACUGACGGGCAAGCCCGCCAACGGCUAGCAUUCAUCGUUUACGGCGUGGACUAC
rnacentral:misc_RNA from 1 species